rnacentral:misc_RNA from 1 species
AAGUCGUAACAAGGUUUCCGUAGGUGAACCUGCGGAAGGAUCAUUAACGCCUAGCAAUCCCUGGUAAAUCAUUGUCUGAACAGAUUUUGAGUCAGGGACUUCUGACGUGACGCGAAGAAUGGUAUUGAUACUCCAUCUGCGUGGGAUGACAUGCGACGUAGCAAAUCACUUGGCUCCCCAAGCAACCAUGUUUCUAAAAGCGGCUCAUGGAAGCGUAAGGAGACGCUGUAACGUUUUGCUGUAGGCCAACACGGCCGGCAAUCCAAGUGGUUGUACUUCGGUACCCUCACAUCGGCACACCACCGAUGAUAUGUCAAUUUCGCGAAUGGACUAAAAGCCUCGCACCAAAAACCGAACAACUGUUAACAAUGGAUAUCUUGGUUCUC